ACGCUCGACACCUACGGGAGACAGCAGUAGGGAAUCUUCCACAAUGGACGCAAGUCUGAUGGAGCAACGCCGCGUGAGUGAAGAAGGUCUUCGGAUCGUAAAACUCUGUUGUUAGAGAAGAACACGAGUGAGAGUAACUGUUCAUUCGAUGACGGUAUCUAACCAGCAAGUCACGGCUAACUACGUGUCCAGCAGCCGCGGUAAUCUGAGCGGGCUGGCAAGGC
rnacentral:rRNA from 1 species